rnacentral:rRNA from 1 species
GAUUAUGGCUCAGGAUGAACGCUAGCGGCAGGCUUAACACAUGCAAGUCGAGGGCAGCGGUUGUAGCAAUACAAUGCCGGCGACCGGCGAAAGGGUGAGUAACGCGUGAGCAACAUGCCCGAUAGUGGAGGAUAGUCGAGUGGAAACGUCGCGUAAUACUCCGUAACAUACGGGACCGCAUGAUUCUGUAUUAAUAGAUUUAUUGCUAUCGGAUUGGCUCGCGUACCAUUAGCUAGUUGGCGGGUAACGGCCCACCAAGGCGACGAUGGUUAGGGGUUCUGAGAGGAAGGUCCCCCACAUUGGAACUGAGACACGGUCCAGACUCCUACGGGAGGCAGCAGUGAGGAAUGUUGGACAAUGGCCGGAAGGCUGAUCCAGCCAUGCCGCGUGCGGGAAAGACGGCCCUAUGGGUUGUAAACCGCUUUUGUUGGGAAGCAAUAAGGGUCACGUGUGGCCUGAUGAGAGUACCCAGCGAAUAAGCAUCGGCUAACUCCGUGCCAGCCGCAGC